rnacentral:tRNA from 1 species
GGCUCAGUAGCUUAAAUGGUAGAGCACUUGUCUAGCGUAUAAGAAUCGUAAGUUUGAAUCUCUCCUGAUCCU